AUGGUGCCUUUGGGUGAGUAUAUAUGGAUUGAUGACCAGUGCUUAAACAUUAACUCUUCUCUGCAAGGCGAGGAUUGGUGCUGCCGCUCCUGGCAGGACGCCAUGUACAGAUUGCACGAGCGCUCUCGAGAAGGAAUCCGCAGCUUCACAGAGAACCCAGGAGACAUUGUGAUUGUGCAUGCGUUGGGUACAAGCUUUGAUACGUUGGGCGAGGCUUACGACUUGUACAAGUUGUACUCGUGGGAGAAGGGAUCCGGUAUCAGAUACGGGAUGAGCAAAUGUGGAGAGGACAAAGUGCAUGCAAGAAAUCUUUUGUGGCGGUGCGACGAUGAUGUCGUGUUUUCAGGCACAUGUUUAUGUGUGCACUCUGAUGAGUAUUUCCUAGAAAUAAAAGAAAAAAAAAGAUCCAUUUCAUGA
rnacentral:rRNA from 1 species